UACAGAGGGGGCGAGCGUUGUUCGGAAUUACUGGGCGUAAAGAGCUCGUAGGUGGUUUGUCGCGUUGUUCGUGAAAACUCACAGCUUAACUGUGGGCGUGCGGGCGAUACGGGCAGACUGGAGUACUGCAGGGGAGACUGGAAUUCCUGGUGUAGCGGUGGAAUGCGCAGAUAUCAGGAGGAACACCGGUGGCGAAGGCGGGUCUCUGGGCAGUAACUGACGCUGAGGAGCGAAAGCGUGGGGAGCGAACAGGA
rnacentral:rRNA from 1 species